AAGAGUUAAGCAGAAAACUGCUCGAAAUGAAAUAAAUGUGUACAAAAUUCUCUUUAUUAAAAGGGUCAAAUAAAAACCAGGUUAUGUACCUAGAAAAUAAAUCUUCCGAAAAGUAUACAGAAUUCCAGCACCUUCCCUUACUUCACCAUUCUAAAUAAAAAUUAUACAGUGGCGUGCCACCAAAGAAGCCGGGCGAUAAGACGGCAACGGCUGCGAUAAACAUAUAUACUUCAGUGGGAACGGAAUACCAGCAGGGCGUUGCCUAUGGAUCCCCAGGGAUGAAGGGACAACAAAAGGUUCAUUGCAUAACAGCGGGCGAAACCAAAGCCUCCUACAUGGUGCGCUCUUUUCAGUCUGAGUGCAUGUUAUAAGAGUCCAGUUUCGAUGAGAUCAGUCAGUUUUUAGUGUAGCUCCAACUAGAGAAGAAGCAAGCUCGCAUGCAACAAAGGACAGAAGACACUUCACCAAGAACAGUGGUGCAAUUAAUUAUAGGAGUGAAGAGGAAACAUCUAAAGGACAUUACAAGUUGAUAAUAAUUGUGUGAGUGUAAAAGAGAUUGUCCAAUACACCGUCUUAGCUAAAUCCAAGACCACCUGCGUGAAUUUGUCGCGUUACAUAGGCAACACACGGCAAUACUUAAGCCCACUGAACUAACAUAAACUCCUUUAAGCAUCCUGUUAUGUAAGAAACCAAAUAAUAUUGAAAACUACUGACUUGAAAUUACAAUUCUAAGCCUUGGAUAAUACUGCAAUUUGUUGUUAGAAUUCAGACACUAUCUCUGCUUCCUGUAGCAAUCCAUAUGCCCCAGUUAAGGAACAUCUAGUAAACACUUUCCCUCACAUUUUCAUCAGUGGAUAAGAUAUAAGCCAGUUUUAUAUGUAAAUUAGUUAAUAAAGUUUGACAAUCUAUUCAUCUGGAAA